rnacentral:lncRNA from 1 species
CCUAUUGGAGUCAUUACUACCAAUUCAUUAUCUAAAGGCUCUGACAUUUGAUUAGCAUAGCUAGCAAGUAUGUGAGAAAUAAAGGAAUGCAUAGCACCCGAAUCAAUCAAAGAACGAGCAUUUCUACCAAAAAUAGAUAACAUACUCACUACCACAUCUGGUGACUCCUCUGCCUCCUGCUGUGUCAUAGCAAACACCUUGCCCUAAGUCCUGAAUCGACCUGGGCUCCCUGUCUAAAAGCACUACCCCUAGCAGCAUUAGAUUGUGUGGCCCCCAUCGACCCUGCUGAUGGAGCUCUUUGAUCCCUGUUCUGUCUAGUCAUAUCGAUCCCUGGCUGAGGAGAUACUAUCUGAGAUGCUCCAAUCUGUUGAGAGCUGGCUGGACAAUCUUUCCUUAUGUGUCCCAUCUGACCACACUGAUAACAAACUCCAGCCCCUCGAAGACACUUGCCUGGAUGAAACUUCCCACAAGAUUGGCACUGUGGAAAGCUCUGAUAAUCAGAAGCCUCACUCUGCAUCGCUCCUCGAAUUCUCUGUGAAGGACCCUGCACAUAAGAAUGGCUUCCCACUGACUGUUGUCCAAAACUCUGACUAUGUCUUGAUCCCUAACUAGAGCUAGAACUCCCAGACUUAGAUUUAAAACUGCUAGAUUUAGUACCUGGCCAAAAUCCUUUUCUGUUCUUCUUGAACCUUUCUCAUGAAGCUCCUGAUUGACUACUACCACCUCGAAAGGUCAC